UGGAUGUAAUUGCAGUUGUUGAUGAUAAUUCUAAUUGAAGUAUAUAUUCUAAUUGAAAUUGAUUUUCAUCUCUGUUUUUAUUUCUUUAAAGAGUGGAAGAUGAUUUGGUUAAAUGGGAUUGUUCUUGUUUGGAAAAAGGAGAGAAAUAGAGAGCUAUUGAUGGCAGUAAGAGUUGGUGACUAAAAUGGCAAGGUUCGUGCUUGGAGGGUGGUUGAAAAAUUGUCUCAACAAAAUCCCUUGUGAUUUGAAGGAGCUAAUGCACAGAUUCUUCUGCAACAUUUUUGUAGUAUGUUUUAACUGGCAGUACUCAGUUCUAGCCAUCACGGGGGUUGAACAUCUAAAAUGUUGGCUCAACUGAGGGAAGAGUUGGUGUCCAUCAUUUGGAUUUGCAUGAUUCUCAGCAAGAGAAAAACUUCACCUUCAAAUGUAUAGAAUUCUUGCUGCGAUUGAAGCAACGAUGGGUUGAGCUGAAAAUGGACUGAUUAGAUGUAUGUUAGGUGUUAUAGGGAAGGAUUUGGAAGGAUUUGUGUUUGCUUAUUGUAAUACUUGUGUUUGAUCUUUGUAAUUUGUCCUAAAUUAACUUAAUUAAAAUUUGAUUUGAUUUUUAAUCUAA